rnacentral:lncRNA from 1 species
UGUUGAUGAACAGAGCUGGAUUUUCCCCUACCUCCAUUCCCGCAAAACAAGGAGACUCAGAAGAUAAAUCUUGUUUUGUUAUUGCAAGUAGUGCUAUGUGGAAAAAGGGAUCACUGCACUGCAAAAAGUGGUGUCUGAGACCUUAUUAUGCUAUGAAGAACUACACAGACCACAUCACCUUCCUCUGGAAAAGCAUAGCUGGGAUUUGAGAAUAUCUUGCACAGGUUAAUAGAAAACAGUGGAAAGUAUACUUCAAUUUCUCUAAACCUAUACUAUGCUCUUACACGGAAAAGAAGACUGUAAUGACAGUCCUAGAGAAUAGCUUUUUCUGUUCCACCUUUGGGAGGCCAGGGGGCUCUUCUGCCACUGAUAAAUUUGUUAGGUAUGACAAAAGUGAAGGUGACACAAAACAACGGUACUGCUUAUGUGCUGCUUCAAAGUAAUUGAAGGAUGUUAUAAUGGUAUAUGCAUGUAAAGACAAAUUAAUCAGUA